rnacentral:misc_RNA from 1 species
GCCAACAGCAUCCAUUGUCACUGUGAUGUACAAUAAAAAAAACUAGUUCAUCGAAACAGAAAGGCAAACAAUAUGUAAAAUUACUUUUUCCAGACUAUGUAAUAUUAUCCCAACUUUUCUUCCUAAAAUCUCUUCCUCAAACAAAAAUCUUGCACAACGUUUUUAAUACUAGUUUCCUCAUGUCAUGAUUGUAUUUGUCAAUGUGAUAAACAGUGAUAUCAUCCCACACCAAGAGUAUGUAAGAAAAUAGUGAAACAUUAUUGCUUAUUGUUUAUCACACAAAUUGUUUCCCUCGAAUUCAAUUCAUAGCCUCACUUGAAAAGAUUCAAUUUAAUGCAUUUCUGCUACCUAAGCAAUAUAUGCAUUUGACAUAAUCCUAACCCCCACGAACAUGGUAGCAACUAGAAAUCCAUAAUAAAUGUAAUUGUCCAAAAGAUUGGUCCAGUUUUUGUUGCUCAAAUUCAAGAUAAUGGCCCUAGAACCAGACAUUCUGAGCUCAAUCUAGUAUCACCCCUAAACUGGUACCUUAGCAAUUGUCCAAUCAGUGCUGGACAGAGGAUUUCAACUCCUCGCCAGCAAUUAAAAAAUAAAAAUCGGACAGUUAGCAAACUGUCACCAUAAAAACAAGAAACAGAGCAAAAAAAAUAUCAAACGAAACUACUGCUGCCAUCAUUGAAUUUUUUUCAAGCAAAAGAUCA